AGGGUUUGAUCCUGGCUCAGGAUGAACGCUAGCGGCAGGCCUAAUACAUGCAAGUCGAACGGUAACAUAAGUAGCAAUACUUGAUGACGAGUGGCGCACGGGUGCGUAAUACGUAUGCAAUCUACCUCUUACUGGAGGAUAGCUCGAAGAAAUUCGAAUUAAUACUCCAUAGUAUUACAGAAAGGCAUCUUUUAGUAAUUAAAGCUCCGGUGGUAAGAGAUGAGCAUAUGCGACAUUAGUUUGUUGGUGAGGUAACGGCUCACCAAGACUGCGAUGUCUAGGGGAUCUGAGAGGAAGGCCCCCCACACUGGUACUGAGACACGGACCAGACUCCUACGGGAGGCAGCAGUGAGGAAUAUUGGGCAAUGGGUGCAAACCUGACCCAGCCAUGCCGCGUGCAGGAUUACUGCCCUACGGGUUGUAAACUGCUUUUGUACGAGAAAAAACUUCAAUACGUGUAUUGAACUGAUGGUAUCGUAAGAAUAAGGAUCGGCUAACUCCGUGCCAGCAGCCGCGGUAAUACGGAGGAUCCAAGCGUUAUCCGGAUUUAUUGGGUUUAAAGGGUGCGUAGGCGGGAAGAUAAGUCAGCGGGGAAAUCCUGUAGCUCAACUGUGGAACUGCCUUUGAUACUGAUAAUCUUGAGUACAACUGAUGUGGGCGGAAUGUGUCAUGUAGCGGUGAAAUGCUUAGAUAUGACACAGAACACCGAUUGCGAAGGCAGCUCACAAAACCGUUACUGACGCUGAGGCACGAAAGCGUGGGGAGCGAACAGGAUUAGAUCCCCUGGUAGUCCACGCCGUAAACGAUGAUUACUCGUUGCAUGCGAUACACUGUAUGUGACUUAGCGAAAGCAUUAAGUAAUCCACCUGGGGAGUACGCUCGCAAGAGUGAAACUCAAAGGAAUUGACGGGGGCCCGCACAAGAGGAGGAGCAUGUGGUUUAAUUCGAUGAUACGCGAGGAACCUUACCUGGGCUCGAAAGUUAGUGACCGAUCCUGAAAGGGGUCUUCCAGCAAUGGCACGAAACGAGGUGCUGCAUGGUUGUCGUCAGCUCGUGCCGUGAGGUGUCGGGUUAAGUCCCAUAACGAGCGCAACCCCUAUACUUAGUUGCCAGCAUGUAAUGAUGGGGACUCUAGCGAAACUGCCUGCGCAAGCAGUGAGGAAGGUGGGGAUGACGUCAAGUCAGCACGGCCCUUACGUCCAGGGCUACACACGUACUACAAUGGCAAAUACAAAGGGUUGCUACAUGGUGACAUGAUGCUAAUCCCUAAAGUUUGUCUCGGUUCGGAUUGAAGUCUGCAACUCGACUUCAUGAAGCAGGAUUCGCUAGUAAUCGGAAAUCAGCAAUGUUCCGGUGAAUACGUUCCCGGGCCUUGUACACACCGCCCGUCAAACAAUGGAAGUUGGGAGUACCUAAAGUCGAUAACCGCAAGGAGUCGCCUAGGGUAAGACCAGUAACUGGUGUUAAGUCGUAACAAGGUAGCCG
rnacentral:rRNA from 1 species